UCCUCCCUCUCUACCGUAGAUUUCCUUUGGUCUGGUUCGAGGUUGGCGUCGGGCCCUGGGAUCACGCGAAUGGCGCUCGGGCCGUGAUCCGGCUGCUGGGUGGAGAUGGUGGAUGCCGCGUGCCUAGUGCCUAGUGACGCGACCUGGUUCGUCUCUGUUUUUUUUCUGGGAGAAUGGGUUGUGAUCCGCUUGUUCGUCGACAGGCCCCGGUCGCCGGGAUGCCGCGUUUUGUUAGUAUUUCUUGCUGGGGCUGCGGCUGGGGCGGAUUCGGGGGCGGGUGGUGGAGACCGCUGGGUCAUGUUCAUCUUCUGAGAUGGAGGUCGUUGCAUGUGUUCCGCUCUGUAGAGGCCGAGAUCCUAGUUGUUCGGCCUUCCUGAAACAUGCAUGCAUCUAGCUGCAGGUUAAGUUUUCAAGUUCAACGAUUUAUGUGCGGCUAGUUUUCUUGUUGGCUUGCGUCUUAAUUACCAUGUAUAGGCACUGCUAUAUGGCGAACAUAUACAAUGUUAUAUGGUGCACACACAAAUGCAAGAUCCGAAGUAGCUACACAUAUGGUUUCUUAUCUUGCUUAUGGAAUCUUGUCGGCUAAUAUGAUUUCAGAAUCAUCUUUAUCAAAGUGGUUAUUAUCCAAACUUUGUAAUAAGAUUUUAAAACUUUUGCCCAUGUAGAAAGGAAGCUACAUGUACACACUUGUUAACAUCUAUAUGCAUGAAAGCAGUGUAUGGCAAUAAUAAUAUGCAUUGUCAUGUUCUUACUAAGGUCAUGAUUUACCUCUUCCACAUCUCAUCUUUCAGUGUCUGGCUAUGUUUCUAUAUUGUUUUGAGAAAUUGCUGCCAUGAGAUGAAGUCUAAACAUUGUUCAGUCUCGCCUUAUCAUCUCGUUUCCUUUGCCCCGACAUGUUCUAAUUGCAUUCCUUGAUUAUGACAAUACAGUUGCAAUCAUGCUAAUCUUUUGGUUAUUAAUUACUAUGUAACUUGCUCAUCUAAGAAAAUGUAACUACUCAUUGAAAAUAGCUAAAAUAUCCUUUCAUUGUAAUUUACAGAAUUAUUUUUUAUGGACUUCAUAUAGAAUAUCUAUGAUUCUUUUACAAACAUUUUGUAUUACCAAAAUAAUUUUAAAAAUAAUUUUUGUGGCGUUCACCAGAUACAAUGUUUUCUUAACUCAUCUAAUGCAGAUCCUGUGCGAAUCUAUGGAUUUGAUAUUUCAAUUAGCUGGGCGCUCAUCGCUUCUGUAUUCAAUGUGCGGUAGUUCGAUAAGUGUAUGGGAUAUUCUGAUGUGUUAGCUAUGGUAUUAUAGAUGUCUAUUUUCUUAUUUGUCGUGCAAGUACGGAGAUAAGCUUGCAUACAUGUAUGCUAGCUUUCCUGUUUGCAUGCGUGCAUGUGGGAGUUGCAAAACAGUGUUAAAAAAAGUUACAAAAAUAAGAUUUGCAUUCAAUUAGAAUCCUAGAUAGACAGGGACACCAGCUCUUCCAAGUUCGGCAUACAUGUCCGGGAAAGACUCAUAUAUAUUUUCAAUAUUAUCCGAUAAGGCGUUUUUUAUUUGGUAUAGACCUUCCUGCCUUUUUUUGGCUGUGUAUGUGCUUUUUAUUCCUGAGAACAGACCUCUCGUAGUUUGCUCUUUUUAGUUGUUUUCAUUUUCUAACUGAUGUCUAUGUAUGCGUGUUGGACUCCCCUAUAUGUGUGUUAUCUCAAAAAAGUUGGUGUGCUUUUUCUUUUUGAGUUGAAGUUGGUGUGCUUUUCUAACUAAAAUGUGUAUGUAUGCAUGUUGGACUUCCCUGUACGUCCUCUCUUGGAAAAAAAGAAUUCCUUGUACACAUGUCAAUGAUCUGCUGUGUACGCGCUCUAUGUCUUACGUAACCUUUUCAUCUUUAAAGCUCAUCCGCUAUAAUAAGAAUUAAUGGAGUAUAUACUUUUAAAUUAAUAAGUACCAAUUGAUUGUUGUCAUGCAGAAAGGAAGCUACAUGUUAACAUCUGUAUGCAUGAAAGCAGUGCAUGGCAAUAAUAAUAUGCAUUGUCAUGCUCUUAUUUUGUGUUCACGAAAAUAAUAAGAAAUCCAAUCUAUAACAUCCUUUUGUGUACAGUAUUUCCGGCCAUAUAUCUAAACAUGUACGUCACACUUUUGAACCAUACAUUGUAUUUUUUAAUCAUGAUUAUUUGGCGUUCAUAUGCAUUUGUUUGUAUAACAAAAAAAUAGAAGAUCGCUUUGUAUACUAUAUUCUUUGCGCUAUCUUUGCUUGGGUACUCCAUGUUGUCAAUCAACACCUUUAAUCCUUCUCUGUUUGUGACUCUUGAUAAUGCUACAUAUAAUUGCCCAUGGAAGAAGACUUGCUUAGGCAAAUAUGGGCCCACCUUGUUUAGGGAUUGACCUUGGCUUUUGGUUAUGGUCAUUGCGAAAUAAACUGACAGAGGAUAUUGCUUAUUAUGGUUUGGUGCUCAUUCUUUAGUGCCUCCAUGUCAUAGCUAAGUUUUCCGUUUAUCAUUCUGUUCCCAAGUUCUUCAAGUUUUGUAGCAUUUGGUAGUUCUGUGUCUGGAUAGUCCUUUAGUGUCUUUCCUGCUUGCCUCAUUAGUUUCUCUAUCUCAAUCAGAGCAUAUGCCUUUUUUUGUGAAUCAGUGAGCUGCAGCAUAGGAAAGUUAAGCAUAAUUCUUCUUUUGUACUGGAUAUCUUUAGACAGUGCCUCCCAUGUUGAUUCCCUCAACAUCUUUGGGCUGGUCACCUCACAAUGGCAUAAAAUUGUGGUGAAUAAUUGUCGUAAUUGUGUCCCUGAGCCCCAGCAUUAUGCUUCAUUGAUGCAUUCAAUCCACUCACUGUCGUCAUCAAGAAAUCCAAGCGCUUGGCAUGCUUAUUUGUAUGUUGGGUGAACAGCUCCAUUAACUGUUCCAAUAUCAUGAAUGAUGUGCAUCCUUUCUUGGUGUUUAGAAGCAUUCUCAUAUAAUACCGGUUGCCACUUGCAGAGUGUGCAUAGUAGAUUCGUCCAAUAUCGAAGCCCCUUUUCGGCUCCCCAAGUUUUUGUUUCGCUUUUCCAUACAAAUUUUGAUGGGAAUUCUGCAUAGUCUCUUGACUGGUGGAUCACGAUGGUGUAGAUCAAACUGGAAUAUCCGCCAGUAUGCUUCAGUUGUUGAUAUGUAUCUCAUCUCUAGGUACUUGAUUGACCUGGGCCUGUUGCACCACUCGACAUUUAUGUGAGCUAGGAAUUGACCAAAAGGUUUCGGUUGUAUGUCCAUGUGCGAGAAGAAUGGCCAGACCCCUCCGUCGAUGCCAGUCAUUGCUCCGGCGGGCACGCGUAACUCCCGACAAGCAUCGACCGAUCCUUCUCCGUCUGCCACUGGCGCGACCGGUCCUACACCUACACCUACACCUACACCUUCAUGAUGAAGAUUUGCUUAAGAUCACGGAAGCUUGGGUUGAUGGAGUGCUUGUAUUUAGUUUUUGUUUUG